UACGAAGGGGGCUAGCGUUGUUCGGAAUUACUGGGCGUAAAGCGCGCGCAGGCGGUUUUCCAAGUCAGUGGUGAGAGCCCGGAGCUCAACUCCGGAAAUGCCAUUGAAACUGCAAAACUUGAGUACGAGAGAGGUGAGUGGAAUUCCCAGUGUAGAGGUGAAAUUCGUAGAUAUUGGGAAGAACACCGGUGGCGAAGGCGGCUCUCUGGGACGGUACUGACGCUGAGACGCGAAAGCGUGGGGAGCGAACAGG
rnacentral:rRNA from 1 species